UGAGUACGAGCUGCUACGGCAGCGAAGUGGGUGAUGUCAAGCUUCCAAGAAAAGCCCUAUACCCGUUAAGGCAUGACGGCCUGUACCCGAAACCGACACAGGUGGGGUGGUAGAGAAUACCGAGGGGCGCGAGAUAACUCUCUCUAAGGAACUCGGCAAAAUGGCCCCGUAACUUCGGGAGAAGGGGUGCCACCGCAAGGUGGUCGCAGUGAAGAGGCCCAGGCGACUGUUUACCAAAAACACAGGUCUCCGCUAAGUCGCAAGACGAUGUAUGGGGGCUGACGCCUGCCCAGUGCCGGAAGGUUAAGGAAGCUGGUCAGCGCAAGCGAAGCUAGCGACUGAAGCCCCGGUGAACGGCGGCCGUAACUAUAACGGUCCUAAGGUAGCGAAAUUCCUUGUCGGGUAAGUUCCGACCCGCACGAAAGGCGUAACGAUCUGGGCGCUGUCUAGGAGAGAGGCUCGGCGAAAUAGAAUUGUCUGUGAAGAUGCGGACUACGUGCACCCGGACAGAAAGACCCUAUGAAGCUUUACUGUAGCUUGGUAUUGUGCCCGGGCUCUGAAUGCGCAGGAUAGGUGGGAGGCUUUGAUCCAUUGCUUGUGGGUAAUGGUGAGCCACUGGUGAGAUACCACUCUUUCAGAGCUAGGGUUCUAACGGUCACCCGUUAUCCGGGGACCGGACAGUAUCAGGUGGGCAGUUUGACUGGGGCGGUCGCCUCCUAAAAGGUAACGGAGGCGCGCAAAGGUUCCCUCAGGCUGGUUGGAAAUCAGCCGACGAGUGUAAAGGCAGAAGGGAGCUUGACUGUGAGACCUACAAGUCGAACAGGGACGAAAGUCGGCCUUAGUGAUCCGACGGUUCUGAGUGGAAGGGCCGUCGCUCAACGGAUAAAAGUUACUCUAGGAUAACAGGCUGAUCUCCCCCAAGAGUUCACAUCGACGGGGAGGUUUGGCACCUCGAUGUCGGCUCAUCGCAACCUGGGGCUGAAGUCGGUCCCAAGGGUUGGGCUGUUCGCCCAUUAAAGCGGUACGCGAGCUGGGUUCAGAACGUCGUGAGACAGUUCGGUCCAUAUCCGGUGCACGCGCAGGAACAUUGAGAGGAUUUCUCCCUAGUACGAGAGGACCGGGAGGAACGCACCUCUGGUGUACCAGUUAUCGUGCCAACGGUAAACGCUGGGUAGCCAUGUGCGGAGCGGAUAACCGCUGAAAGCAUCUAAGUGGGAAGCCCACCUCAAGAUGAGUGUUCCCGUGGCAUAAGCCAGUAAGGUCACGGGAAGAACACCCGUUGAUAGGCUCUACGUGGAAGCGUGGCGACACGUGAAGCGGAGGAGUACUAAUAGACCGAGGGCUUGAGC
rnacentral:rRNA from 1 species